AAAGAUUAAGCCAUGCAUGUCUAAGUAUAAGCAAUUAUACCGUGAAACUGCGAAUGGCUCAUUAAAUCAGUUAUCGUUUAUUUGAUAGUACCUUACUACUUGGAUAACCGUGGUAAUUCUAGAGCUAAUACAUGCUGAAAACCCCAACUUCGGAAGGGGUGUAUUUAUUAGAUAAAAAACCAACGCCCUUCGGGGCUUCUUGGUGAUUCAUGAUAACUUUACGGAUCGCAUGGCCUUGCGCCGGCGACGGUUCAUUUAAAUUUCUGCCCUAUCAACUUUCGAUGGUAAGGUAUUGGCUUACCAUGGUUUCAACGGGUAACGGGGAAU
rnacentral:rRNA from 1 species